CUUUCUUCCUGCUACCCUGUUCUACUACCUACACCUGCCUGGACAGCCUGGUGAUCCAGGUGAUUGAUAUAUGCAUUUUUUUUUUUGCUGCCCGUUCUGUUGGUUUUUGUUUUUUGCCCUUCUCCCCCGUCCCUCUUCUCAGCUGUUUCUCUUUCCCUCUUUCUUUCUCCCCUUCUUUCCCCCAGUCAAGUCUGUCCCGUAUUCAGUAAGUGAAAAUAAAAUAAGCAAUAAAAGGUGAAUCAAAUGGACCAUUACGGCAAGGCUGGGAUGGUCAAUUUGGUAAAGUAAAUCCGUU
ensembl:lncRNA